AUUGAACGCUGGCGGCAUGCCUUACACAUGCAAGUCGAACGGCAGCACGGGAGCAAUCCUGGUGGCGAGUGGCGAACGGGUGAGUAAUACAUCGGAACGUGCCCAGUAAUGGGGGACAACUAGUUGAAAGAUUAGCUAAUACCGCAUACGACCUACGGGUGAAAGCAGGGGAUCGCAAGACCUUGCGUUAUUGGAGCGGCCGAUGUCAGAUUAGCUUGUUGGUGAGGUAAAAGCUCACCAAGGCGACGAUCUGUAGCUGGUCUGAGAGGACGACCAGCCACACUGGAACUGAGACACGGUCCAGACUCCUACGGGAGGCAGCAGUGGGGAAUUUGGACAAUGGGCGAAAGCCUGAUCCAGCCAUGCCGCGUGUGGGAAGAAGGCCUUCGGGUUGUAAACCACUUUUGUCGGGAACGAAACGGUCUGUGAUAACACCAUGGGCUAAUGACGGUACCCGAAGAAUAAGCACCGGCUAACUACGUGCCAGCAGCCGACC
rnacentral:rRNA from 1 species